GGUAGGCUGUGUCCAUCUCAGCUGCUCCCAGCUGUCAGGGCCUCUUGAGAUACUUGUAAAACCUUCUGCCUCCUUGGGCCCCCGUUUUUCUUCCUCCAUAAAAUAAGUGUGUUUGAUCAGAGCUUCUCUGAGUUCACUUCCAAGUCCCGAUUCCGGAUCCCUCCUUUCUCUUCUCCUCCCAGGAGCCCUCAGGGGUUCUUCCCCUUUCCCCUCAACACAAGGCCCUGACCACCCCACUAUGGGACCCCAGUUUCUGCCUCGGUGCUGCACGCUGAGCUCUGUGCCCUCCCUACCAGUGAAGCUGCGUAAGGCCAGGGACUUGACUAGUGCUUUCUGGGAGUCUUAACUGCAAAUACAGCAGGACCCAAGAAGGCUCAUGAGCAAAAAGAGCUGAAGGCUCUUUGGUUGUUGAAAUUAGUGGUGCACACCAGGAAGACACCACCACCCGAUGGCCUGGGCAGGAUGUUCCCAAGCUCUUGUUUUCCUGAGAUCGCAACAGGCACACACGAAAGCGUAUGAAUAUUGUUUCUAAAGGUUUCGUAGUGUUAGUCUUCCCUUCUGUUUUCUUGAAAGCUUGCAGACCCAGUGGCCAGGAGGUGUGGGACAGACCUAGCCUUACUCUUGCAUAGGCUGUGGCUUUUCUGGAGACUUCCAAGCAUCAGGACAGGGAAUUAGAGUGGGUGUGCACAGGGAAAAGCAUUGUUUAGCUAGCCCACUGGGGAAGAGCUUUCUGAAACUGGGGUAAUUCUUUAUAAAAAUGUGAACAAUGAAUUUAUUUUUUAAAUAAUAAAUUUUUU